rnacentral:rRNA from 1 species
UUGGAGGGCAAGUCUGGUGCCAGCAGCCGCGGUAAUUCCAGCUCCAAUAGCGUAUAUUAAAGUUGUUGCAGUUAAAAAGCUCGUAGUUGAAUUUCGGAGUUUGUCGGUCGGUCGGGCUUCACUGUCCGCACUGGCCUGAUGAAUUCCUACCUUCUGAAUAACCAGCAUGCUAUUAAGUUAGUGCGUUGGGGAAGCAGAGCUAUUACCUUGAAAAAAUUAGAGUGCUUAAAGCAGGCUUAUGCUUGAAUAGAUUAGCAUGGAAUAAUAAAAUAGGACGGCAUGGUUUUAUUUUGUUGGUUUCUAGGAUCACCGUAAUGAUUAAUAGGGAUAGUUGGGGGCAUUAGUAUUCAAUUGUCAGAGGUGAAAUUCUUGGAUUUAUUGAAGACUAACUUCUGCGAAAGCAUUUGCCAAGGAUGUUUUCAUUAAUCAAGAACGAAAGUUAGGGGAUCGAAGACGAUCGGAUACCGUCGUAGUCUUAACCAUAAACUAUGCCGACUAGGGAUCGGACGAUGUUAAUUUUUUAAUGACUCGUUCGGCGCCUUACGGGAAAC